UGGGGAAUUUUCCGCCAAUGGGCGGAAAGCCUGACGGAGCAAUGCCGCGUGGAGGUGGAAGGCCUACGGGUCGUCAACUUCUUUUCUCGGAGAAGAAACAAUGACGGUAUCUGAGGAAUAAGCAUCGGCUAACUCUGUGCUAG
rnacentral:rRNA from 1 species